UACGAAGGGGGCUAGCGUUGCUCGGAAUGACUGGGCGUAAAGGGCGCGUAGGCGGAUGGCUUUGUCGGGCGUGAAAUUCCAGGGCUUAACCUUGGGGCUGCGUUCGAGACGGGUUGUCUUGAGUGGGGAAGAGGGUCGUGGAAUUCCCAGUGUAGAGGUGAAAUUCGUAGAUAUUGGGAAGAACACCGAUGGCGAAGGCAGUGGGCUGGGCCGGUACUGACGCUGAGGAGCGAAAGCGUGGGGAGCGAACAGG
rnacentral:rRNA from 1 species